GGACAACAUAACUACAAUGUGCUCAUAUAUAUAUAUAUAUAUAUAUAUAUAUAUAUGUACACAAUGUAACAGAGAGAGGCCUGAGAGGAAAAUAUGAGGCGACAACGGGCGAGCAUCCUUUUGCUCUUUGGGAUGAAAGUGCGGGGUCUGUGUAAAAACUGUGUGUACAAAGAUAGAAGUAGCCUGCGAGGAUCUGUGUGUGUGCGUGUGUGAGUGUCGAGAGGGAGGUCGACGGCACGUGUCGUGUCUGCGUGGAGGGUGCGUGGCAAACACGCUGCCUCGAGGGGAUCUCCCGUGACCCUUAUCUGCGCGUCUCUGGGGACGCCUUUUAGCCCCUCCUGGGAUGCAAAUGAGCGGCCAUAAAACAGAGGCAGAUACAGCUACAGAGACGGUGGUGGAGGAGAAGAAAGCGAAAUGGGACCAAGGGGAGAAUGGAGGAGGAGGAGGAGGUGAUAGGGCAAGUGUACGCUCAUGCGGAAAUACACAGACCUUUGAAGUGGCCCUCUGUCACCACAUGGCAGAUCCCCCUAGUGUGAUCCCUCUGUCCAUUUGGCCAAAGGACCAACAUUGGUAGGCUGCCUACGGCUCUGUCUGUCCUGACAUUAUGGAAAACCAGUUUAUUAGUAUAGGCUUAGCCUGGCGCCCAGUGAUUGUGGUGUCCUUAUUUCGCCUAUUUUCCCUCUAUGUCUAAAGAAUAUAUGUUCUGUGGUUUGCAUUAACUCAUCUGGACACCUGUCUUAGGCCACUGUUCAGUAGCUCUGCCUAAUGCCUACUCUCCUGAUUCUUUUCCUAAUCCCAUAGGAUGGUAGCAAACACCCAUCUGUGCAGUUACCAGUGCCACUUUCCUGUGUUGGAUGGGCUUUGCACUCAGGUGAGC
ensembl:lncRNA